rnacentral:rRNA from 1 species
GACGAACGCUGGCGGCGUGCUUAACACAUGCAAGUCGAACGGAAAGGCCCUGCUUUUGUGGGGUUCUCGAGUGGCGAACGGGUGAGUAACACGUGAGUAACCUGCCCUUGACUUUGGGAUAACUUCAGGAAACUGGGGCGCAUAUCGGAUAGGAGCUCCUGCUGCAUGGUGGGGGUUGGAAAGUUUCGGCGGUUGGGGCUGGACUCGCGGCUUAUCAGCUGGUUGGGGGGGUAGUGGCUUACCAAGGCUUUGACGGGUAGCCGGCCUGAGCGGGGGAACGGCGACAUUGGGACUGAGAGACGGCCCAGACUCGAACGGGAGGCAGUAGUGGGGAAUAUUGCAGAAUGGGCGGAAGCCUGAUGCAGCAACGCCGCGUGCGGGAUGACGGCCUUCGGGUUGUAAACCGCUUUCGCCUGUGACGAAGCGGGAGUGACGGUAAUGGGUAAAGAAGCACCGGCUAACUACGUG